rfam:Salmo salar isolate Sally breed double haploid chromosome ssa05, whole genome shotgun sequence.
UGAAUGCACUAAUUGUAUGUCGCUCUGGAUAAGAGUGUCUGCUAAAUGACUAAAA